rnacentral:tRNA from 1 species
CCUUCGAUAGCUCAGUUGGUAGAGCGGAGGACUGUAGUUGUGCUAAAUUGGGUAUCCUUAGGUCGCUGGUUCGAAUCCGGCUCGAAGGA